CCUACGGGCGGCAGCAGUGAGGAAUAUUGGUCAAUGGCCGCAAGGCUGAACCAGCCAAGUCGCGUGAGGGAUGACGGUCCUAUGGAUUGUAAACCUCUUUUGCCAGGGAGCAAAGGGCGCCACGUGUGGCGUUUUGCGAGUACCUGAAGAUAAAGCAUCGGCUAACUCUGUGCCAGCAGCCGCGGUAAUACGGAGGAUGCGAGCGUUAUCCGGAUUUAUUGGGUUUAAAGGGUGCGUAGGCGGAAGGUUAAGUCAGCGGCCAAAUGUCGGUGCUCAACACCGGCCUGCCGUUGAAACUGGUCUUCUUGAGUGAGCGAGAGGUAUGCGGAAUGCGUGGUGUAGCGGUGAAAUGCAUAGAUAUCACGCAGAACUCCGAUUGCGAAGGCAGCAUACCGGCGCGCAACUGACGCUCAUGCACGAAAGCGUGGGUAUCGAACAGGAUUAGAUACCCGAGUAGUC
rnacentral:rRNA from 1 species